UGGUGAAUUUUGCACAAUGGGGGAAACCCUGAUGCAGCGACGCCGCGUGAUUUAGAAGGCCUUCGGGUUGUAAAAAUCUUUUGUAUGGGAAGAAAAUGACAGUACCAUACGAAUAAGGACCGGCUAAUUACGUGCCAGCAGCCGCGGUAAUACGUAAGGUCCGAGCGUUGUCCGGAAUCAUUGGGCGUAAAGGGUACGUAGGCGGAUAAGCAAGUUAGAAGUGAAAUCCUAUAGCUCAACUAUAGUAAGCUUUUAAAACUGCUCAUCUUGAGGUAUGGAAGGGAAAGUGGAAUUCCUAGUGUAGCGGUGAAAUGCGCAGAUAUUAGGAGGAAUACCGGUGGCGAAGGCGACUUUCUGGCCAUAAACUGACGCUGAGGUACGAAAGCGUGGGUAGCAAACAGG
rnacentral:rRNA from 1 species